UACGUAGGGGCCUAGCGUUGUCCGGAUUUAUUGGGCGUAAAGAGCUCGUAGGCGGUUCGGCAAGUCGGAUGUGAAAUCUCCACGCUUAACGUGGAGGGGCCAUUCGAAACUGCCGUGACUCGAGUCCGGUAGGGGAGUGUGGAAUUCCCGGUGUAGCGGUGAAAUGCGUAGAUAUUGGGAGGAACACCAGUGGCGAAGGCGGCUCACUGGACCGGAACUGACGCUGAGGCGACGAAAGCGGUGGGGAGCAAACAGG
rnacentral:rRNA from 1 species